GCCUAGCUGGCUCAGUUAGUAGAGCAUGUGACUGUUGAUCUUGGGGUUAUGAGUUUGAGACCCAUGUUGGGCU
rfam:Ailuropoda melanoleuca scaffold1079_1, whole genome shotgun sequence.